GAAAUGCGAUAAGUAAUGUGAAUUGCAGAAUUCAGUGAAUCAUCGAAUCUUUGAACGCACAUUGCGCCCGCCAGUAUUCUGGCGGGCAUGCUUGUUCGAGCGUCAUUUCAACCAUCAAGCCCCGGGCUUGUGUUGGGGACCUGCGGCUGCCGCAGGCCCUGAAAACCAGUGGCGGGCUCGCUGUCACACCGAGCGUAGUAGAUUCUCAUCUCGCUCAGGGCGUGCUGCGGGUUCCGGCCGUAAAACAGCCUUAUUUUACCCAAGGUUGACCUCGGAUCAGGUAGGAAGACCCGCUGAACUUAAGC
rnacentral:misc_RNA from 1 species